AGGGUGUCCCCAAACAAGGUAUGGCCCAAAUUGUGAUCUCAAAUGUAACUGCAUAAAUGAUGGGAUUUGCAAUCCUGCGAAUGGAAGCUGUACUUGUGCUCUCGAAUGGACAGGAAGUGAUUGCAGAAAAUAAUGUUCUCCUCAUCAUUAUGUCCCAGAUUGCCGUUUUAAUUGAACAUGUCAGAACAAUGGAAUUUGUAACAGGUUUUCUGGAAGCUGUGAGUGCCUUCCAGGAUACUAUGGAAUACAAUGUGAAUACGCAUGCCUUCCUAGAUUUUAUGGUUUGAAUUGUGCUCACAUCUUUGACUGCAAAAAUCGAGCCAGCUGCAAUACAGCAAGCGGACUAUGCAUCUGCCCAGCAGGUUUCCAUGGCACCCAGCGUGAGAAAGAGUGUUUACCUGGAAUGUUUGGAGUCAGUUGUCAUCAACUCUGUGACUGUGAAGGGGGAGGUCUCUGCCAACCAGCAACUGGGAACUGUCUCUGCCCGCCUGGGAGAACGGGAGCUAGA